UUUGUUCUUUCCUUUUAGUAAUUUAAUUGAUUAGUUAUUGUUGUUAUAGCGAAGAAAAUACGUUAUACGUCGAUAGGAGCAGAGAAGGAUAAUAAUGGCUUGCGGUGGUAACAAUAGAAGAUGCUUAAAAGUUUUAAGAAACGAAUUAAAUAUUGAUGAUUUGGGAAUGAAUGAAGAUUUAUAGAACUGCGAAAAUGAAGAUGAAAGGAGGAAUCGUGGUUCAAUGGUAAGAUCAAAAUGAAUAAGAUAAACGUAACGGAACAAAUCAAAAUGCCCAAAAAACUGUGCCUGCUUGUCUGCCAAGAAUGAAUGUAGUCAACUUGUUAUACCUGAUUGAUAUCAGCCGUAUUCUAAAGUGGGCGUUCUGCAUCGAACAGAGUAAAUGUUAGUUAAAAGGGGCAAAGAGUAGACUGUAAGACCAGUGAGGCUUGAGCGUUGACAUGAAGUAAAAUUAUUGUAAUUUGAUUAUUUGCUAUCGGUAGCAUUCCCCAUUAAUGGUUUCAUCCGGUUUUAAAUGAUCAUAAUACAGCAUGCCCUCCUGAUCCCGCCAAAAAAAAUUAUAGCUAUUUACGUUUCAAAAGAAUUGCAUAACUAUACUAAAAAUGACGCUCAAUGACAAUAGUUUCCCACACUUGUUCGGUAUAUUGGAACGAUGGAAUUAUAAUCAAUUAAGACAUCUCUUGGCAAAAUAGAAGAAUGCGAUAAUAGUUUCAAUAGUGCAGAACUUUCGAUAGAAAAUGUAUUCGAAGCAGUUGGCAGGUGAAGCAUCACCUUUUUAUAUUUCAUUAGUCCUAUAUUUAACAGAUUUUAACUUAUAGGGCAUGUCGCCUGAUUUGUAGCUUUCAUAGAAAAUGUAACUCAUACACUAUUACAACAUUUUUUUA
rnacentral:lncRNA from 1 species